rnacentral:rRNA from 1 species
GAUGAACGCUGGCGGCGUGCCUAAUACAUGCCAGUCGAGCGAACAGACGAGGAGCUUGCUCCUCUGACGUUAGCGGCGGACGGGUGAGUAACGCGUGGAUAACCUACCUAUAAGACUGGGAUAACUUCGGGAAACCGGAGCUAAUACCGGAUAAUAUAUUGAACCGCAUGGUUCAAUAGUGAAAGACGGUUUUGCUGUCACUUAUAGAUGGAUCCGCGCCGCAUUAGCUAGUUGGUAAGGUAACGGCUUACCAAGGCGACGAUGCGUAGCCGACCUGAGAGGGUGAUCGGCCACACUGGAACUGAGACACGGUCCAGACUCCUACGGGAGGCAGCAGUAGGGAAUCUUCCGCAAUGGGCGAAAGCCUGACGGAGCAACGCCGCGUGAGUGAUGAAGGUCUUCGGAUCGUAAAACUCUGUUAUUAGGGAAGAACAAAUGUGUAAGUAACUAUGCACGUCUUGACGGUACCUAAUCAGAAAGCCACGGCUAACUACGUG